rnacentral:rRNA from 1 species
AUUGAACGCUGGCGGCAGGCCUAACACAUGCAAGUCGAGCGGAUGAAGGGAGCUUGCUCCUGGAUUCAGCGGCGGACGGGUGAGUAAUGCCUAGGAAUCUGCCUGGUAGUGGGGGAUAACGUCCGGAAACGGGCGCUAAUACCGCAUAAGUCCUGAGGGAGAAAGUGGGGGAUCUUCGGACCUCACGCUAUCAGAUGAGCCUAGGUCGGAUUAGCUAGUUGGUGGGGUAAAGGCCUACCAAGGCGACGAUCCGUAACUGGUCUGAGAGGAUGAUCAGUCACACUGGAACUGAGACACGGUCCAGACUCCUACGGGAGGCAGCAGUGGGGAAUAUUGGACAAUGGGCGAAAGCCUGAUCCAGCCAUGCCGCGUGUGUGAAGAAGGUCUUUGGAUUGUAAAGCACUUUUGGUUGGGAGGAAGGGCAGUAAGUUAAUACCGUGCUGUUUUGACGUUACCAACAGAAUAAGCACCGGCUAACUUCGUG